UGGAAACAUCCACACCACUCACCACUCCACAGCCUGGAAUGGCACAGAGCAGCCUCUGGCAAAAGGAUUGUCACCCCAAGGGGCCUUGCAGGCCGUUGUGCCCUUGGGAGUCAAGCCAGUGUGCAUGUGAGCCCCUGUAAUGCCAUUUGCUAGUUGAAUGGCUUGGCCCAGUGACUGAAUCCUUCUGAAGAUGAGAUUUGGAAUUCCUGAUAGCCUCCUUCCCUGCUAGGUGGGUUGGAGGGAAAAGGAUGGAGCCUGUGAAGCAAUGGAAGCAUCCUUUGGUCCAAGAGAGUCCGAUGAUGAAACUGAGGCACAGAGAAGUUAAAGAACUGGUCCAAGGUCAUACAGUUUGGUCUGGGGCCCUUGCUGGUAAAGGGAGGGGAGCAAGCAAGAGGAUCUCCCUGUGAAACUCUGUCCACGCACAGAUGAACUUUGCUCUAUGGGUCAGGAUCGCCCAUUUUGUAUUAUAUUCAUCCCUCCUGCCUCCAGACACGUCUCUCCUCUCUCCCCAGCUCCAGGACAGGCCCAGAGACAUCCGCUUCCAUGAGGAGCCAUCUUUGGAGCAAAAGAAUAGGAACUCCUGAAUAACCUCCACCACAGCUGUGUGCACAGAGCCCAGAACAGUAAAUUGUUCAACACUCAAGGCUCUUGGCUGUUUAACUUCUGUUAGGCAGCAGAGGCCAGGAAACAAGUGGAGAACCAGAAGAGGAAGGAAAGCCCCAGGAGUAGGCUUUACCAAGUGAGUAAAGGAAACUCUUUCCAGGAGAAAUCCAGGGUGGGAGAAGUCCGGAGCCCAGCGACCAUGUGGAGGUGGAAGAGGCUAGCAAGCGUGGCUCCUUCCUCUCCUGAGGGCAGGACCUGCAGGAAGAAAUGAGAGGGUCAAGUCUCAGCUGAGCUUUUCAGUCAAGCUUCUCCUUCAAGGAGCUGCUGGAGGUCCACGUGUCCUCUUUUGCUUGCUCUGCACCCGUGGACAUCUCAGAUCAGCUGCUGGAAUCUAUCCUCUGUCUGCUCUCAUUGCCCUUCAUCACAGCAGGUGCUGCUGCAUCAAAGGCCGAGUGAGGUGGUAUUGAGAGUAUUAUGAUUGUGCGGGUGGCCCUGCCUACAGACUGAAAGUGCGAAGACGGCUGCAUGGACUGGACGCACGCACUGACUUUCAGAGAUGGAAGUCAAGGAGAAGCCCAGAGAGGGGAGGAGGGAGCAAGCCUGAUGCAACCAGGAGGGGCUUUGAGCGCUGGUCUGCUCAGGCUGCAGAACCAAAUGCCACAGACUCGAUGGCUUCAUCACCAGAUAUUUAUUUCUCACAGUUCUAGAGGCUAGAAGGUGCCAAUGGAUUUGGUUUCUUCUGAGGCCUCUGUCCUUGGCUUGCAGAUGGCCACCUACUCCCUGUGUAUGGACAGGCCACUCAAGAUGGUUGUUCUCUUGCUCUCUGUACAUGUGCUGCUUGACCAGUGCCUGCUUCACCUACACCCUGCUCACCUGGCUGACCUUCCUACAUACUUGCCCCAGGCCCCAGCUCUUUCUAAUCAAAGAGCAGUGUGAGCUUGCCCCCCCCUCUGUUGGUUUCCCUGGUAACGAAGGAGCCCACCGGAUGUCAAUUGUCCCAGUAACUGGCAACUCCCCUAGACCCCAGCAAAGCCGCCACAUCCUGCCUGCUGUUCACUGUCCAUGGUGGGUUAUCACCGCAGGACCAUGCUUCAGACAUGUAAGCUCCCCCAUCCAUUAAACCACGAUGUCUCUGUUACUGACCCCAAGCUUUAUCUUCCAUCUUAAGACUGGCCAAGUGCAGGCCUAGUGGGCCUGUGGGGCAGAGCCCCACAAUUGGCCAAGCAGGAGACUCCUGUGAGCCCUGAGAAUUGAGAAAUACAGCACAGGGAAUGAAUCGUUGCAAGGGCUGCCCACUAGCAUGUGGGGCCAGAAAGUUUGAGGGGGUGGUUUCAGAGUUGCUGGGGAAGUCCCAGGCUAGCUGCCUACAGUUUGUGGGGACCUGUGGGCACUGUCCUUCAUGAAUGAGGGCUGCCAUUCUGGAGAACAAUGACCCCUAAUGGCUCUGCUGUCCUAUCCCGUGAGCCUUUUGUAAUUGGUUAACCUAGCUCUGCAGAAGGAAUGAUAUUUCUCUUUUUAUGCCUUUGACAUGUAAAUAGUCUGGCUCUCUGGAACUUUAAUCUUACGAGAUUUCUAAGAGUUAAGAAAGAAAGAAAGAGGCUUUAAAAUUUUUUAUGUUUUAAUUAUUUUUUUUUAUAUUGGAGAAUAGUUGAUUUACAAUGCUGUGUUAGUUUCAGGGGUACAGCAACGUGAUUCAAUUAUACAUAUACACAUAGAUAUUCUUUUUCAGAUUCUUAUCUCAUAUAGAUUAUAAUAGAAUGUUGAGUAGAGUCCUCGUUGAUUAUCUGUAUGUUGUAUGUAUAUGUUAACCCCAAACUCCUAGUUUCUCUCACCUUUUCCCUUU